GUAGGUGAACCUGCGGAAGGAUCAUUAACACGUAUCCAACGUUACUCCGCUAACGAUACCCAUGGUUGCAAUCCCUGGUAAAUCAUUGCCGAACAGUUUUGAUUCAGGGACAUCAAGCACGUUAGUGUCCUGAUAAAAGAGGCGCUGCAACGCCGGGUUCCACGACCCCAAGGAGUCAAAAGCUGUCAGCGAGUGGCAAGUGAGGGAGUCAGUCAGGGGGUUGUUAAAGUGUUCAACCUGAUUGUCAUCUUGUAAGUUGAGAGUGUCUUUUGAUUUUGAACGGGUAGACCACCCCAGGUGGGUCACGGCCGUGAUGGGAUUCUGGCGUCGUGCCUAUAGGUACGAACUAGCGCCCGACAUGACCUCUUGAAACGACAGGGGCGCAACCGGACCAAUUUUUUAAUCUGCCCCUUACCCUAACAGGUACUCGGGUGUCAAACGAACAACUGUGAACAAUGGAUAUCUUGGUUCUC
rnacentral:misc_RNA from 1 species